rnacentral:rRNA from 1 species
UACAGAGGGUGCAAGCGUUAUUCGGAAUUACUGGGCGUAAAGAGCGUGUAGGUGGCUCUAUAAGUCUGAUGUGAAAGCCCUGGGCUCAACCCAGGAAGUGCAUCGGAUACUGUAGGGCUAGAGUAGAGGAGAGGAAAGCGGAAUUCCCAGUGUAGAGGUGAAAUUCGUAGAUAUUGGGAAGAACACCGGUGGCGAAGGCGAUCAUCUGGACCACAACUGACGCUGAGGAGCGAAAGCGUGGGGAGCGAACAGG